CAACCGCCGCGGUAAUACCGGCGGCCCGAGUGGCGGUCACUAUUAUUGGGCUUAAAGCGUCCGUAGCCGGGUUGGGAAGUCCUCCGGGAAAUCUGGCCGCUUAACGGUCAGAAUGCCGGAGGAUACUCCCAGCCUAGGGAGCGGGAGAGGCCGAGGGGAUUCCCGGAGUAGGGGGGAAAUCCUAUAAUCCCGGGAGGGCCACCUGUGGCGAAGGCGCUCGGCUGGAACGCGUCCGACGGUGAGGGACGAAGGCCAGGGGAGCAAACCGGAUUAGAUACCCGGGUAGUCCUGGCUGUAAACGAUGCGGACUUUGUGUCGGACAAGCUAUGAGCUUGUCCGGUGCCGGAGGGAAACCGUUAAGUCCGCCGCCUGGGGAGUACGGCCGCAAGGCUGAAACUUAAAGGAAUUGGCGGG
rnacentral:rRNA from 1 species